GACAGAGCAAGACACUGUCUCAAAGAAAAAUAAAUAAAUAAAAUAAGGCCCUCUUUUUCCAGGACCAACAGACUCUGAUGGCAGGGACAAACUGACCCAGCCUAAACUGCCUCGCCUUCCCUGCUCCCGGGAAAGGGGCUUUCCCUGAGGGAAGGUAGCAUCUUGCCAUUUUCUUCCUGCACAGCUUUGCCUUCCCAGGGAUCGGCCCAUUGCCACCUGAGGAAAUGCCUUGGAGUCCAUCUAACCCACAGCCCAGGUACUUGGGACGCCUACAGAGCCUACAUUGUCAGAGGAUGCAUCUUCUUCUAGUCUUGGAGGGGUUCCUUUCAAUAAGAUCCCACCAGUGCACUCAAGGCUCAAUUCUACACCAAAAAACUAGGCCCACUCCUGUCACCGAGACCCCCAGGCUUCAGGUCCUGUCACAGUGACCUUGUUUUCGCCCCCAGCAGCCCCCAGCCCUGUUGAAGCUGCUUCCAUGUUGUGAGAUGCUUUAUGGGUAACAUCCAUGUGGUAAAACAGUGAAGUAGGCCUCUUGCCAACCACCAAUUAAGAAUAACCAUGGAGGAACUGAGUCCCACCAACAGCUACUUGAGUCACUAUGAAAGUGGACUCAUCACUGAUUGAACCUUGGAAUAACGAUAGCCCAAUUGACACCUUGAUUUUAGCCUUGUGAGAUAUUCAGGCAAAGAGAAUGCAGCUAAGCAUUAUCUGAAUUUCUGACUCAUGGAAACUGUGAGAUAAUAAAUGUUUGCUGCUUUAUCCACUAAGAUUUUGGAUAAUUUGUUAAACAAACACAUAACUAAUACACAU
rnacentral:lncRNA from 1 species